GCAGUGGUCUUCCUCUUCCAUCGUUCACCUGCAAAAGGCUUGAGAAUUUUUCCCAUGUUUGGAGGUCAAAACAACUUGUGUAGUCAACCAUGCAUAAUUUCAGAGUUGAAGCUGAUGGUGUCUUUUGAGCCAAUGGAUUUUCCUAGAUAUCAGAAGUGCAAUGGCAAAUUAAUGAAUUGAUCUAGACAAAGAGAGACCUGAAGUGAUACACAUCGACCAUUUUCUGUGAGCUGAUUCAAUAAAUAGAAAUUGUCUGGUGCUUUUUGUCUUAAGAAUGGUGGUUUAACUUUGCCUUGUUUGCUUUUGGUCUGUAACAUUAUUUCUCAUUGGCUGUUCUUGGAAAUAUUUUUUUCUUUCUUUCCUUGUGUAUCCCUUAGAACUUGCCUUUUGCCUUAUGGAAUUGUGGAUGUUUAUUUGUA